UAGGGAAUCUUCCACAAUGGGCGAAAGCCUGAUGGAGCAACGCCGCGUGUGUGAUGAAGGCUUUCGGGUCGUAAGGCACUGUUGUAUGGGAAGAACAGCUAGAAUAGGAAAUGAUUUUAGUUUGACGGUACCAUACCAGAAAGGGACGGCUAAAUACGUGUCAG
rnacentral:rRNA from 1 species